CCUACGGGUGGCAGCAGUGAGGAAUAUUGGUCAAUGGGCGCGAGCCUGAACCAGCCAAGCAGCGUGAAGGAUGACUGCCCUACGGGUUGUAAACUUCUUUUAUAAAGGACUAAAGUGAGGCACGUGUGCCUUUUUGUAUGUACUUUAUGAAUAAGGAUCGGCUAAAUCCGUGCCAGCAGCCGCGGUAAUAAGGAGGAUCCGAGCGUUAUCCGGAUGUAUUGGGUUUAAAGGGAGCGUAGAUGGGUUGUUAAGUCAGUUGUGAAAGUUUGCGGCUCAACCGUAAAAUUGCAAUUGAUACUGGCAGUCUUGAGUAAAGUUGAGGUAGGCGGAAUUCGUGGUGUAGCGGUGAAAUGCGUAGAUAUCACGAAGAACUCCGAUUGCGAAGGCAGCUUACUAAGCUGCCACUGACAUUGAUGCUCGAAAGUGUGGGUAGCAAACAGGAUUAGAUACCCCUGUAGUC
rnacentral:rRNA from 1 species